rnacentral:misc_RNA from 1 species
GAUGAAGAACGUAGCGAAAUGCGAUAAGUAAUGUGAAUUGCAGAAUUCAGUGAAUCAUCGAGUCUUUGAACGCACAUUGCGCCCCCUGGUAUUCCGGGGGCAUGCCUGUCCGAGCGUCAUUGCUGCCCUCAAGCACGGCUUGUGUGUUGGGCCUCCGUCCUCCUCCCGGGGGACGGGCCCGAAAGGCAGCGGCGGCACCGCGUCCGGUCCUCGAGCGUAUGGGGCUUCGUCACCCGCUCUUGUAGGCCCGGCCGGCGCUUGCCGACACAUCAAUCUUUUUUCCAGGUUGACCUCGGAUCAGGUAGGGAUACCCGCUGAACUUAAGCAUAUCAAUAAGCGGAGGA